rnacentral:rRNA from 1 species
GACGAACGCUGGCGGCGUGCCUAAUACAUGCAAGUCGAGCGAAGUUUUUCUGGUGCUUGCACCGGAAAAACUUAGCGGCGAACGGGUGAGUAACACGUAAAGAACCUGCCUCAUAGACUGGGACAACUAUUGGAAACGAUAGCUAAUACCGGAUAAUAGCAUUAACUGCAUGGUUGAUGUUUAAAAGUUGGUUUUGCUAACACUAUGAGAUGGCUUUGCGGUGCAUUAGCUAGUUGGUGGGGUAAAGGCCUACCAAGGCGACGAUGCAUAGCCGACCUGAGAGGGUGAUCGGCCACACUGGGACUGAGACACGGCCCAGACUCCUACGGGAGGCAGCAGUAGGGAAUCUUCCGCAAUGGGCGAAAGCCUGACGGAGCAACGCCGCGUGAGUGAAGAAGGAUUUCGGUUCGUAAAGCUCUGUUGUUAGGGAAGAAUGAUUGUGUAGUAACUAUACACAGUAGAGACGGUACCUAACCAGAAAGCCACGGCUAGCUACGUG